rnacentral:rRNA from 1 species
CCUACGGGGGGCAGCAGUGGGGAAUAUUGGACAAUGGGCGAAAGCCUGAUCCAGCCAUGCCGCGUGUGUGAAGAAGGCCUUCGGGUUGUAAAGCACUUUCAGUGGGGAAGAAAGCCUUGGGGCUAAUACCCUCGAGGAAGGACAUCACCCACAGAAGAAGCACCGGCUAACUCCGUGCCAGCAGCCGCGGUAAUACGGAGGGUGCGAGCGUUAAUCGGAAUUACUGGGCGUAAAGCGCGCGUAGGCGGUCUGAUAAGCCGGUUGUGAAAGCCCCGGGCUCAACCUGGGAACGGCAUCCGGAACUGUCAGGCUAGAGUGAAGGAGAGGAAGGUAGAAUUCCCGGUGUAGCGGUGAAAUGCGUAGAGAUCGGGAGGAAUACCAGUGGCGAAGGCGGCCUUCUGGACUGACACUGACGCUGAGGUGCGAAAGCGUGGGUAGCAAACAGGACUAGAUACCGAGUAGUC